UCAUAAUCUGAUAAUGAAAAUAACUAAGUACCCUUGAUAUUUUCUGGAAAAGAUAGGAUAUUUUCUCACAAGUAGAUAUCAUGUGUUUUCUGAAAUGAUAAAGCAACCAGGAUACUCUAAACAAACCAUUAUGUUUCAUUACUAUCAUGCUACUGAUUUCUUCAUAAAAUCCCGUAAGUCGACAUUAGUGUGAAUGCUAUGCUAUAUGCUAUUCAUUCGCUAUUUAAAACACUGGUGCUAAUACAAAAGUCCAGUCGUAAAUUUUACACCCAUGUUUCUGAGUGCUGUAUUCUUGAAUUGUUUCCAGGCAUAUUUGUUUCUUUACCUAUUCUUUUUCCAUUUGUGCAUCCUUAAACUAAGUGCCUUGGUUUUGGUUCUUUCUAUCACCUUGCUCUUCUCUAGGUAGAGGGCUUUUUGAGAUCCAUGUAAAAGCAGAUCCAAUCUGCUGGAAGACGUGGAUUGUUUUCUAAAUGAUCUGUCAGCCCUCAAGUUCAAGAGAAGUUUACUUUGAAGGACAUGCGGUGUUUCCAAGGGGUGCUUGCUCCAUUUGAUUUCACUGCAGUCAUUGAUUUGAGAAUACCUGGAUAAAGGUGGUUUACAUUGCCAUAGGGCUUUUAGAUUUUUGAACUUUCAAGGGAAAAAAAAGGGUUUUGUUCUUAAAGGUCUUUAUAGUCAUGUUCAUGACUAUUGUUGUAUUCGGUGCAUAGCUUAGGCGAAAUAUAUGCUAAAAUUCUGACAGGAUCCUAUCCCAACUUCUUUAUUUGAGAUAAACAAUGACCUGGUUAAGUCAUUCAAUCAAAUUAUUCCAGAUUAUCUUGACGUAUAUGGGAGUCAAUUCAUUGGAUAGGGUGGCUCCUUUGAGUUAGAAGAGAGGAUUGGGCAUGCUAGGAAAGUUUAUAAGCAAACUAUGAAGCGCCCGAAACUACUUGAUGAACAUUUUGUGCAGAUUUCAAAGCAAACCCGCAAUAAUCCUGAUAGGUAUGCUCUUUGCUAUCUGUUGGGUUCUAGUCAUCGAUGCGAGCAGAUUCCCUUCUUGUGCAUGCUCUUUCUUCAUCAUAGGUUUCUUUGUUUCAAUUUCUAUUGUUGGUUUGUUUAUUUCUACAGGCAAUGGUUGAUAAAGGCAUAGGAAUUAAUGUAUUUGUGCACAUCUUCCAUGCUUCGUAGUAAGGAUAUUGGGGAUAUUUAUCUGAGCAUGUUCAUUGUGUAGCCCAUGGGGUGAAUGUUGAUCCUGAAAUCCAAACCCUUGCAUUGAAUACAGGGGAUGCUCUGAAACCUUCUAUGAAGGUUGGACCUAGGCAAGCAAUUCAUGCACAUGAAGAGAUUGAAGCUCUGUUGACUGGUAGAAAGCUUACGACCAUAGUGCUUUUCUUGGAUGAGAUGUUUAAAGAAAUUACAUACAACAUGGCAUCAACUGUUGCUGAUGCUAUCAAGGAAGUCGCAGGGAUCAUCAAGCUUUCAGCACCAUCUAGUUUCAAUAUAUUUGAAAGCAGAAAAGUUGUCACUGGUACUAAAUCACCUGACCUUGGCAACAUUAUCUUAUGUGCAGGUGAGUGUAAGGUAGUGACCAGUUGAUUGAAGCAUUAUCUUGCAUUCCCUUUGAUUUCAGUGGAAUAUGCAUUUAUGGAUGGGCAUUGUUUUAUAGAGAUCCUUUUCGUUGACUGAAGAAGAGUAUCUACUGAGGCCUGUUGAUGUUGCAAACACAUUGAAAUGCUAGGGAGUUGUCUCACAUAUUCGGAAUAGGCUCUCCAAAUUGAAGGAGCGACCUCGGAUAGGAAAGAUGAUGAAGCAGAGGAGAUAAAAAAGAAAAAGAUGAAACUUGUUGGGAAGGAAAUUAGUUUUGGUUUUGUAAAUGUUGAUUGCACUAAGAAAACUAAAACCGUUGUCAAGAAAGUCAUUAGCACAUCCCUAUCUAAUGGCUCAGAUUUUGAUGAUGCAAAGGAGUUGCUACUCCUGAGAAGAUCAGAGAACCGAUGAAGGUUGAGGAGCGGACCAAAAAUGAAGUAGAAAGUCAUUUGCAGGUGGGUUUUUGAUCUCGAUCUUGAAUUUUUAUUAUUUUUCUCUUCUUUGUUUUUGGUUCCUGGGAUAUUACCAAAUGGAUGGCAUGGAUAAAACAAAAUUACCAAUGUGAGCCCACCAGCCUCAUGCAGGACUGUCUAUCUUUAGCCAGGUCCCAAUGGGAUUCAAACGGUUUUGAUUCAUCAGUCUCUUGGUUCACUAUAU